GGAGUGCGGGCUGCUUAACACAUGCAGUCGAACGGCAGCACGGUCUAGCUUGCUAGACUGGUGGCGAGUGGCGCCGUGUGAGUAACGCGUAGGAAUAUGCCUUAAAGAUUGGGACCCCUUGGGGAAACUCAAGCUAAUACCGGAUAAUGUCUGAGGACGAAAGCUGGGGACCGUAAGGGCCUGGCGCUUUAAGAGUAGCCUGCGUCCGAUUAGCUAGUUGGUGGGGUAAGGGCCUACCAAGGCGACGAUCGGUAGCUGGUCUGAGAGGAUGGCCAGCCACACUGGAACUGAGACACGGUCCAGACUCCUGCGGGAGGCAGCAGUGGGGAAUAUUGGACAAUGGGGGGAACCCUGAUCCAGCAAUGCCGCGUGUGUGAAGAAGGCCUGAGGGUUGUAAAGCACUUUCAGUGGGGAGGAGGGUUGAUAGGUUAAGAGCUGAUUAAUUGGACGUUACCCACAGAAGAAGCACCGGCUAACUCC
rnacentral:rRNA from 1 species